rnacentral:tRNA from 1 species
GCCCUCUUAGCACAGUGGCAGUGCACCUCCUUGGUAAGGAGGGGGUCGACAGUUCAAUUCUGUCAGAGGGCUCCA